GAUGAACGCUGGCGGAAUGCUUUACACAUGCAAGUCGAACGGCAGCACGGACUUCGGUCUGGUGGCGAGUGGCGAACGGGUGAGUAAUAUAUCGGAACGUGCCCAGUCGUGGGGGAUAACGUAGUGAAAAUUACGCUAAUACCGCAUACGAUCUAUGGAUGAAAGCGGGGGAUCGCAAGACCUCGCGCGAUUGGAGCGGCCGAUAUCAGAUUAGGUAGUUGGUGAGGUAAAGGCUCACCAAGCCGACGAUCUGUAGCUGGUCUGAGAGGACGACCAGCCACACUGGAACUGAGACACGGUCCAGACUCCUACGGGAGGCAGCAGUGGGGAAUUUUGGACAAUGGACGCAAGUCUGAUCCAGCCAUUCCGCGUGCAGGACGAAGGCCUUCGGGUUGUAAACUGCUUUUGUACAGAACGAAAAGGUCUCUAUUAAUACUAGGGGCUCAUGACGGUACCGUAAGAAUAAGCACCGGCUAACUACGUGCCAGCAGCCGCAGUAACAC
rnacentral:rRNA from 1 species